rnacentral:rRNA from 1 species
ACGAAGGGGGCUAGCGUUGCUCGGAAUGACUGGGCGUAAAGGGCGUGCAGGCGGUUUUUACAGUCAGAUGUGAAAUCCCCGGGCUUAACCUGGGAGCUGCAUUUGAUACGUAGAGGCUGGAGUAUGGGAGAGGGUUGUGGAAUUCCCAGUGUAGAGGUGAAAUUCGUAGAUAUUGGGAAGAACACCGGUGGCGAAGGCGGCAACCUGGCCCAUUACUGACGCUGAGGCGCGAAAGCGUGGGGAGCGAACAGG